AUACUUACCUGGCAGGGGAGACACCAUGAUCAAGAAGGUGGUUCACCCAGGGCGAGGCUCAGCCAUUGCACCUCGGCUGUGCUGCUCCAUGCGAAUUCAUCAAAUGUGGGUAUCUCGACUGCAUAAUUUGGGGUAGUGGGGGACUGCGUUUUCGCUCUCCGCAG
rnacentral:snRNA from 10 species